AUUUUGUUUUGUGUCUGAGUAUCCGUGUGAGCCCGUGCACGACCACCUCUGGAUGUGUGUUUGUGAGUGCCUGCAGGAGGCUCUGUGGACCCUAGAAAUAAGCAAGACUGACCCUCUAGGUGGCUUUUGGGAUAUACCCAAGCCUAGCUGAGGAGGACAAGGGGCUUGUUUUUUGGCACAGCCUUCCCCACUCUAAGUUUGAGAGUCCCUGGGCAGCGGUGGGUCUCAGAGCUCUGCUUUUCUACCUCCAGAGACAGGGUGCUCACUACCCCACCUGAUACCUCCUGGCUUAUCUUUAGAUGGCUCUGACUGUUAAGAACGAAAUUCAUCCUUCUUGAGAGAAUUCUGGUACUCCUGAGGGUCAGGUACCCUGCAUCACUCUCCUUAAUGCCCACCUCUCCUCUCCCCAUCUCCAUGUUUUAACAUCACAUCAACUCCUCCACCCCUGCAAUGGGGCUUUGGCCUCUGACAGGCCUUGAACCUGCUUUUGCCAAGUACCCUGCAACCUCCUUAAUGCCAAAUCCAUCCACCAGUCAGUAGGCCUUAUCCUCCGUGAUCUUUCAGCCUGAUCUGACCCUGAUGCCCUUUUUCUUCUUGAAACCCUCUUCUCUUUGGCUCCCCACCUGCCCCUUACCUCCUGUCCCUCCCCACCCCCAACCUCUAGAUGUUGUUUCCCAGCCUCUUUCUAGACUCCUCCUUUCUCCAACAACCCCUCAACAUCAGGGUUCCCUGGGCCCCAUCCCAGGUUCUCUUCUUUACCCUCUCCCCUCCCCAGGUUCAGCUGCACCUCAUGCCUACAACACCCACAUCUCUACCUGCAAGCCAGAUCCUGCUCCUCAAAGGCACCACCUGCCAUAUGCCUGAGCACUGAGCUGGGCACCAAGAAUACAGAGACAAAAGACGCCAUCAGAGAUAUGAGGAAACUGAAGCACAGAGUUAAAAUAACUUACUCAAAGCAGGAGCUGAGAUCCAAUCCAGGCAGAAAUCCUGGACUAUUGAAACAUUCUCAGCUGGUAUCUGCCUCCCUGGGGGCUCACCCCAGCUCUUCUCUUCACCCAAACCAGAGUGAAUGUCAUGCAGCAGAGACUGGAUCAUGGUGCUGACUUUGUAGAUACAUUUUGGGAGGACUGAUGUCAUUACAAUAUUGAGUCUUCCUAUCCAUUUACAUGGUAUAUCUAUCCAUUAGCUUAGGACUUUAAAGUCUUUCGAUAAAAUUGUUAUCUCAUAAAGGAGAUAAAUUAACAUAUUUUUAGAAGAUUUACUUAGGCCUUAUAUACUUCUGUAAACAGUGAUUUUACAUUUCCUAAUAGUUUGUUGCUAUGAUUUAUAAUGGCAAUUUAUUUUAAGGUAUUUCUCUUAUUCCACCAAACUUGCCUCCACAUACAGCCAGAGCCAGAGACCCAGCUGUCAUCUAGGACCCUGCUACUCCCUCACCAUUCCUUCCAAUCUGCAACCUUGUCUGAUAGCUUCUGUCUCUUGAGUGGAUGUUUUAUCCCCACCAGCUCUCAGUGUAGGCCUCAGUGUAGGCCAUGUUAUUUUUGGCCUGCGGUGAUUCCUAACUGAUUUCCCAAUCAACCUUCACAUAGUCAGGGCUACUACCAACCCUUACUGCACCCUUGUGCGAAGAGAAAAGGUAUCCCUUCCUCAUGGCACUCUACCUCCAUCCAGCAGAUAACUUGUAAUAAAUAUUCAAAUAUGUGAUGUCCACAAUGUGGUUGGUGGCCCUCUCGUGUGGUGCCUUGUGUACCGCUCACCAGCACAGCCAUCUGUGGUGAGGGUUUGAGCACAGCAUUCUGUUAUGGGCUGAAUGUCUACAUCCUCCCCCAGUUCAUAUGUUGAAGGCCUAACCCCCAACGUAACAGCAUCAAGAGGUAGGUCCUUGGGAGGUAAUCAUGUUUAGAUGAGGUGCUAAGGGUAGAGCCACUCAUGGGAUUAGUGCCCUUACAAGAAAAGGAAGAGACUCCAGAGCCUCCUCUCUCUGCCAUGUGAGGACACAGCAAGAAGGCCGCCCUCUGCAAGCCAGGAAGAGAGCCCUCACCAAUAACUGAAUCUGCUGGCACCUUGCUGUGGGACUUCCCAGCCUUCAGAACUUGAGGAAGAUUUGCCCUGAGCUAACAUUUGUGUCGAUCUUCCUCUAUUUUUUGUAUGUGGGAUGCCUCCACAGCAUGGCUGAUGAGCAGAGUAGGUCUGCACGUACUCUGGGCUGCAAACCUGGGCGGCCGAAGCAGAGCAGCGCACAGAACUUUAACCCCUCGGCCACGGGGCUGGCCCCCUCAUUCUUUUUGACAGCUGCGUACCUGCUACUGGACAACUUUCUAAUCCAUUGCAAACCUUACCCAAUGAAUAACAUUGAUGUAUGUGUCAUUUCACACGCAUAGAUAUGAUGAAUAAAAAUCCUAUUUCUCCACCCUUUGCCUCUUGUACAGACUGUGACUUGCUUUGACUAAUAGAAUAUGGCAGAAGUCAUGUUGUGUAACUUCUGAGAAGGGCCUCCAGAGACCUUGCCGCUUCUCGUCUCAUCCUCUUGGAACCCUGAG
rnacentral:lncRNA from 1 species